UAAAAAUGUGCUCUUUAAAAACUUGAAUUAGUGUGUGACUAGAGUUUACUAACUCCCCUAAUUCGGCAUGCUGCUAAAACAUCUGACCACCACCCAUUGCUUGGCUCCGCUACACAUGACAAGGCCACAAGACUGGCGGGGAAAACAGUUUGUUAGCAGCACAUCAGUGAAAUUUUGAGCAGACAAAGUUUUCAAUUGCAGCUGUUCUUAUAGCCAUCAAAAAUUUCAUAGCUUUACUCCUAGAUUUUUACCUCUGUUUAUCACUUGUUUCUAGAUAAUUCUAUGUUGCUACUGUUUCCUUUUUUAAAAAAAAAAUCAUUUUUCCCCAAGUCUAUUAAGCACUGGCAAGUAAAAUAGGUAGGUCAUGGUUACACAUAUUUGGGAUCUCGUGUCUGAAAGGGCAGUGAGAGCUGCAGCAUCAGAGAACAGUGUCCGCAACUUUCAGGACCCAGGCAGUGGUGCAUCAUUUCUCAGGCCUGGAAUGUUUCAAUAAGUCUCACACAAAUAGUCAGCUUGCAGCGAUUGCUCACAUGAACUGAUCUGAUACCAAGUGGAAGUGACCUGCUCUCAGGCUCAGCACUUAAAGAAGCUUCUGAUGAACACAUCCCUGCCCAAUAAGAAGUUCCAGAAGGAAUUAAAACCAAAACUUAAAUGUUGAAAAGAAAGAGAUCAUCAGUAGCCACCAAAGAAGGUGUGUUGAAGGUGUCCAGAGUGGCAUGGGUCUGGUUCACAGCAGAACUACCACCUUUGGAUGUGGCAGAGAGCAAGAUAUACACUUUCUAUAACUCUAAAGAAUAAUCAAGGGAGUCACAGUGAAUCACAAGACUGCAAAUUCCUCGAGAGGUACAUGAAGCAGUGGAAAUAUGUUUGCACUGGAGUCAAACAGCCAUGGCUUGGAAGUCCAACUCUUCAUCUUCCAGCUCUGUGACCUUGCGAAGUUACUUAAUUUUAAAUGAAAUAAUGUAAUAAAGCACU
rnacentral:lncRNA from 1 species